rnacentral:rRNA from 1 species
AGAAGCGCAUACGGUGGAUGCCUUGGCAGUCAGAGGCGAUGAAAGACGUGGUAGCCUGCGAUAAGCUUUGGGGAGUCGGCAAACAGACUGUGAUCCAGAGAUCUCUGAAUGGGGGAACCCACUCAGCAUAAGCUGAGUAUCUUGUACUGAAUACAUAGGUGCAAGAGGCGAACCAGGGGAACUGAAACAUCUAAGUACCCUGAGGAAAAGAAAUCAACCGAGAUUCCCUUAGUAGUGGCGAGCGAACGGGGACCAGCCCUUAAGUUGGUUUGAGAUUAGUGGAACGCUCUGGAAAGUGCGGCCAUAGUGGGUGAUAGCCCCGUACACGAAAAUCUCUUAUCAAUGAAAUCGAGUAGGACGGAGCACGAGAAACUUUGUCUGAACAUGGGGGGACCAUCCUCCAAGGCUAAAUACUACUGACUGACCGAUAGUGAACCAGUACCGUGAGGGAAAGGCGAAAAGAACCCCGGAGAGGGGAGUGAAAUAGAACCUGAAACCGUAUGCGUACAAGCAGUGGGAGCCUACUUUGUUAGGUGACUGCGUACCUUUUGUAUAAUGGGUCAGCGACUUAUAUUCAGUGGCGAGCUUAACCGAAUAGGGGAGGCGUAGCGAAAGCGAGUCUUAAUAGGGCGUUUAGUCGCUGGGUAUAGACCCGAAACCGGGCGAUCUAUCCAUGGGCAGGUUGAAGGUUAGGUAACACUGACUGGAGGACCGAACCGACUACCGUUGAAAAGUUAGCGGAUGACCUGUGGAUCGGAGUGAAAGGCUAAUCAAGCUCGGAGAUAGCUGGUUCUCCUCGAAAGCUAUUUAGGUAGCGCCUCAUGUAUCACUGUAGGGGGUAGAGCACUGUUUCGGCUAGGGGGUCAUCCCGACUUACCAAACCGAUGCAAACUCCGAAUACCUACAAGUGCCGAGCAUGGGAGACACACGGCGGGUGCUAACGUCCGUCGUGAAAAGGGAAACAACCCAGACCGUCAGCUAAGGUCCCAAAGUCAUGGUUAAGUGGGAAACGAUGUGGGAAGGCUUAGACAGCUAGGAGGUUGGCUUAGAAGCAGCCACCCUUUAAAGAAAGCGUAAUAGCUCACUAGUCGAGUCGGCCUGCGCGGAAGAUGUAACGGGGCUCAAACCAUGCACCGAAGCUACGGGUAUCACCUUUAGGUGAUGCGGUAGAGGAGCGUUCUGUAAGCCUGUGAAGGUGAGUUGAGAAGCUUGCUGGAGGUAUCAGAAGUGCGAAUGCUGACAUGAGUAACGACAAUGCGAGUGAAAAACUCGCACGCCGAAAGACCAAGGUUUCCUGCGCAACGUUAAUCGACGCAGGGUUAGUCGGUCCCUAAGGCGAGGCUGAAAAGCGUAGUCGAUGGAAAACAGGUUAAUAUUCCUGUACUUCCAGUUAUUGCGAUGGAGGGACGGAGAAGGCUAGGCCAGCUUGGCGUUGGUUGUCCAAGUUUAAGGUGGUAGGCUGAGAUCUUAGGCAAAUCCGGGAUCUUAAGGCCGAGAGCUGAUGACGAGUGCUCAUUAGAGCGCGAAGUGGUUGAUGCCAUGCUUCCAAGAAAAGCUCCUAAGCUUCAGAUAACUGGGAACCGUACCCCAAACCGACACAGGUGGUUAGGUAGAGAAUACCAAGGCGCUUGAGAGAACUCGGGUGAAGGAACUAGGCAAAAUGGCACCGUAACUUCGGGAGAAGGUGCGCCGGCGAGGGUUAAGGACUUGCUCCGUAAGCCCAUGCCGGUCGAAGAUACCAGGCCGCUGCGACUGUUUAUUAAAAACACAGCACUCUGCAAACACGAAAGUGGACGUAUAGGGUGUGACGCCUGCCCGGUGCCGGAAGGUUAAUUGAUGGGGUUAGCGCAAGCGAAGCUCUUGAUCGAAGCCCCGGUAAACGGCGGCCGUAACUAUAACGGUCCUAAGGUAGCGAAAUUCCUUGUCGGGUAAGUUCCGACCUGCACGAAUGGCGUAACGAUGGCGGCGCUGUCUCCACCCGAGACUCAGUGAAAUUGAAAUCGCUGUGAAGAUGCAGUGUAUCCGCGGCUAGACGGAAAGACCCCGUGAACCUUUACUAUAGCUUUGCACUGGACUUUGAAUUUGCUUGUGUAGGAUAGGUGGGAGGCUUUGAAGUGGGGACGCCAGUUCUCAUGGAGCCAUCCUUGAAAUACCACCCUGGCAACUUUGAGGUUCUAACUCAGGUCCGUUAUCCGGAUCGAGGACAGUGUAUGGUGGGUAGUUUGACUGGGGCGGUCUCCUCCCAAAGAGUAACGGAGGAGUACGAAGGUGCGCUCAGACCGGUCGGAAAUCGGUCGUAGAGUAUAAAGGCAAAAGCGCGCUUGACUGCGAGACAAACACGUCGAGCAGGUACGAAAGUAGGUCUUAGUGAUCCGGUGGUUCUGUAUGGAAGGGCCAUCGCUCAACGGAUAAAAGGUACUCCGGGGAUAACAGGCUGAUACCGCCCAAGAGUUCAUAUCGACGGCGGUGUUUGGCACCUCGAUGUCGGCUCAUCACAUCCUGGGGCUGAAGCCGGUCCCAAGGGUAUGGCUGUUCGCCAUUUAAAGUGGUACGCGAGCUGGGUUUAGAACGUCGUGAGACAGUUCGGUCCCUAUCUGCCGUGGACGUUUGAGAUUUGAGAGGGGCUGCUCCUAGUACGAGAGGACCGGAGUGGACGAACCUCUGGUGUUCCGGUUGUCACGCCAGUGGCAUUGCCGGGUAGCUAUGUUCGGAAGAGAUAACCGCUGAAAGCAUCUAAGCGGGAAACUUGCCUCAAGAUGAGAUCUCACUGGAACCUUGAGUUCCCUAAAGGGCCGUCGAAGACUACGACGUUGAUAGGUUGGGUGUGUAAGCGCUGUGAGGCGUUGAGCUAACCAAUACUAAUUGCCCGUGAGGCUUGACC